AUUCCAGCUCCAAUAGCGUAUAUUAAAGUUGUUGCGGUUAAAAAGCUCGUAGUUGGAUUUCUGCUGAGGACGACUGGUCCGCCCCCUGGGUGAGCAUCUGGUUCGGCCUGGGCAUCUUCUUGGGGAACGUAUCUGCACUUGAUUGUGUGGUGCGGUAUCCAGGACUUUUACUUUGAGGAAAUUAGAGUGUUUCAAGCAGGCCCGCGCCUUGAAUACAUUAGCAUGGAAUAAUAAGAUAGGACCUCGGUUCUAUUUUGUUGGUUUGCACGCCAAAGUAAUGAUUAAUAGGGAUAGUCGGGGGCAUUCGUAUUCAAACGACAGAGGUGAAAUUCUUGGACCGUUUGAAGACGAACUAAGGCGAAAGCAUUUGCCAAGAAUGUUUUCAUCA
rnacentral:rRNA from 1 species